UAGUAGCAGGUGGGCAAAGCAU
rnacentral:misc_RNA from 1 species